rnacentral:rRNA from 1 species
AAUCAACGCUGGCGGCGUGCCUAACACAUGCAAGUCGCACGAGAAAGGGGAGCAAUCCCUGAGUAAAGUGGCGCACGGGUGAGUAACACGUGAAUUAUCUACCUCCGAGUGGGGAAUAACUGAGAGAAAUCUUAGCUAAUACCGCAUAACACUUACGAGUCAAAGCAGCAAUGCGCUUGGAGAGGAGUUCGCGGCCGAUUAGUUAGUUGGCGGGGUAAUGGCCCACCAAGACGAUGAUCGGUAUCCGGCCUGAGAGGGCGCACGGACACACUGGAACUGAAACACGGUCCAGACUCCUACGGGAGGCAGCAGUGGGGAAUUUUGCGCAAUGGGGGAAACCCUGACGCAGCAACGCCGCGUGGAGGAUGAAGUAUCUUGGUACGUAAACUCCUUUCGAUUGGGAAGAUAAUGACGGUACCAAUAGAAGAAGCCCCGGCUAACUUCGUGCCAGCAG